AGCGCGUAUUGUAUGUGUGAGUAAUUACUGAUCACCAUUCUGAUGAGAUUAAUUUCCCCUGAUAAAUGGUAUUACAGUAUUAUGGCAAUCGUAAUGUUUGGAUUUAAUUAGUAAGUGUGCUUAAGUAAAAGUGAGGUUUUAUAUCGGAGUAAACAGUAACAAUGUUUGUUUUGCAUUCCAGAUCCUUGUAAUGCUUUGGAACAGCCCAGAACCACUCCAGCCACUCAAGCACCUGUUGAUCAACGCAUUAUCUAUAUCACUGGUGGUGUCAUCUUCACCAUCAUCAUCAUCAUCACUACAUGUGUCAUCUGUCUCAGAAGAAAGUGCCAAUCUGAAAAUGGUACUUUUAGGUGGAUUUGGAAAGCAGUGCCAAAAGAAAGAAGGCCCACUGUCUUGGUCUCUGAUGCCAACUGAAACAAGACCUUUAAUGAUGAUAACACUGAAUAAGAAAAAUAAAAAUCAAUUCAUGCUCACUCUAAAUAUACUGAAUAAAAUGGUAAGAUCUAAAUUAACAGUUUUUUUCCAAGUCAAAAAUGUUCUGUAAUAUUACUGAAUCUAUUUAAAUACACGAAUCAGCAAAAUACAGUUGUAUGGGUUGAAUCAGGUGGAAAUAGCUCUUUAAGGUAACAAUUGCAGGUCAUCACUUUUUACAGUAUAAGCUUGAGUGAGCAUGAGUUGUUUAUUAUGUAAUUUAGCUGUGGAAGCUUAAAAUAAUUGUAUUAUUAAUUAUUGUUAUAUAUUGUAUUAUAUCAUAUUACCCUUUAUAUCACUCCAUAUUGUUAUCUAAUCAUUAACCUAUAAAAUAUUAAGUAUUUGUAACAGAAUAUUAGCUCACUUGUUAACAUA